AUUGAACGCUGGCGGCAGGCUUAACACAUGCAAGUCGAGCGGGGUGAAGUGCUUCGGUACUGAUCCUAGCGGCGGACGGGUGAGUAAUGCUUAGGAAUCUGCCAUUUAGUGGGGGACAACAUUCCGAAAGGAAUGCUAAUACCGCAUACGUCCUACGGGAGAAAGCAGGGGAUCUUCGGACCUUGCGCUAAAUGAUGAGCCUAAGUCGGAUUAGCUAGUUGGUGGGGUAAAGGCCUACCAAGGCGACGAUCUGUAGCGGGUCUGAGAGGAUGAUCCGCCACACUGGGACUGGAACACGGCCCAGACUCCUACGGGAGGCAGCAGUGGGGAAUAUUGGACAAUGGGCGGAAGCCUGAUCCAGCCAUGCCGCGUGUGUGAAGAAGGCCUUUUGGUUGUAAAGCACUUUAAGCGAGGAGGAGGCUACCUGGAUUAAUACUCUAGGAUAGUGGAUGUUACUCGCAGAAUAAGCACCGGCUAACUCUGUGCCAGCCGCCGCGGUAAAAC
rnacentral:rRNA from 1 species